GGCGUGUACUGCUUGGCUGGGCCUUACUUCUUGGUGAGCCGGCGUGCCCUUUAUUGGUGUGCGUCGGGGAACCAGGACUUUUACCUUGAAAAAAUUAGAGUGUUCAAAGCAGGCCUAUGCCUGAAUACAUUAGCACGGAAUAAUAGAAUAGGACGUGCGGUUCUAUUUUGUUGGUUUCUAGAGUCCCCGUAAUGAUUAAUAGGGACAGUUGGGGGCAUUGGUAUUGAGUCGUUAGAGGUGAAAUUCUUGGAUUGACUCAAGACCGACUAUUGCGAAAGCAUUUGCCAAGGAUGUUUUCUUUAAUCAAGAACGAAGGUUAGGGGAUCGAAAACGAUCAGAUACCGUUGUAGUCUUAACAGUAAACUAUGCCGACUAGGGAUCGGAUGACCUCAAAAUUGAUGUGUCUUUUGGCACCUUACGAGAAAUCAAAGUCUUUGGGUUUUGGGGGGAGUAUGGUCGCAAGGCUGAAACUUAAAGGAAUUGACGGAAGGGCACCCCCAGGUGUGGAGCCUGCGGCUUAAUUUGACUCAACACGGGGAAACUCACCAGGUCCAGACAUAACUAGGAUUGACAGAUUGAUAGCUCUUUCAUGAUUUUAUGGGUGGUGGUGCAUGGCCGUUCUUAGUUGGUGGAGUGAUUUGUCUGGUUAAUUCCGAUAACGAACGAGACCUUAACCUCCUAAAUAGCCAGCCCGGCUUCGGCUGGUCUCUGGCUUCUAGAGGGACUGUCAG
rnacentral:rRNA from 1 species